rnacentral:rRNA from 1 species
UACGAAGGGGGCUAGCGUUGUUCGGAUUUACUGGGCGUAAAGCGCACGUAGGCGGAUCGUUAAGUCGGGGGUGAAAUCCUGGAGCUCAACUCCAGAACUGCCUUCGAUACUGGCGAUCUUGAGUCCGGAAGAGGUGAGUGGAAUUCCUAGUGUAGAGGUGGAAUUCGUAGAUAUUAGGAAGAACACCAGUGGCGAAGGCGGCUCACUGGUCCGGUACCGACGCUGAGGUGCGAAAGCGUGGGGAGCAAACAGG